rnacentral:lncRNA from 1 species
CUCCAGGCAAGAAUACUAGAGUGAGUAGUCAUUCCCUUCUCCAGGGGAUCUUCGUGACCCAGGGACUGAACACCCAGCAUCUGUGUUUCUUGCAUUGCAGAUAGAUUCUUUACCAUCUGAGUCACCAGGGAAGCCCUCUUAAUGUACGAAAAGGACUGUAAGAGGCUGCAUUUUGCCAGCUCCAUAAAUGGCAUUAGCCCUGGAGCAAAGUGGAACAUGCCGGAUCCAUGUAGUUUUGAUGCGACCCUGAUGGUGGAAGCCCGCCAUUUCCAGCAUUUCAAAAGGCUGGUGGGGUCCCUCAAUUGCUAUGAUUGACUAAUGGUAUGGAACUGGUAUUGACAAUAGGGCAACAGGAAGAAAAAUCUCCCCAUACGCUGGCUGUGGAAGACGGGCACUGCCAAGGCCCCACAGUACUGCCUCUGCCCCCUGAGGGAACAGAGACAGGAGCGGAAGAACUGGGGACUGGCUCAGCUGUUUCAGAGUAAAGGAGAGAGAUCCAGACAGCCACAUCCCAGUUCAAAGUCAGUCGCUCCAUGACCGAGGCGUAGUCUAAGGAACCUGCCCGAGAUCUCAAGACAGCUUCCCCAGCUCUGCACUACAUGGGGCUAAGAGCUCAGUCCACCUGCUCUGCAUCAACCUCAACUCUCAUCGUCCUUCUCAGAGCAAGUCUGUGAUGAAAUACGAGUCUAACGAGUAGUCAACUUUUAAUAUCAGAAAGCACUCCCGUCUCUUUAAAUGCUUACAAAUCAUGUGAUGUAACUGUUUACUUAACACACGUCAGGUUUAUCCUCAGGACAAAGCAAUGACCUACCUUGAAUGACACGGUUUCAACUGUUUCCUAGGCCUGAGUACCAUUUGCAAAAUGCUUUAAGGACUUCCUUAUAAAUAGAGGCUGGAAAGCCAAGAUAAGCUUGUGUUUAUAGUAUCCAAAAUCUCAGCAAAUAUUCUAGCUUGUGAAUGAUGAAUCAGCAAGAUUUCAUUAUCUUCCUCUAAGAAAAUGAGAGGUAUUGGGUCCUACACAAACCCUACACAAGUCCUGGGAACUCUGACACUAAAAAGUCUCCCAGUAUUUAAAGGGUUGUAUGUAGAGAAAGGUCCAGACUGUGAGGAAGCACACAUUUAAAGGAAAGGGACUUCCCUGGUGGUCCAGUGGUUAAGACUCUGUGUUCCCAAUGCUGGGGGCCUGGGUUCGAUUCUUGAUCAGGGAAGACCCAGCACAGCCAAAUAAAUACAAGAAAAAAUAGAAAAUACCA